rnacentral:rRNA from 1 species
UGGCGGACGGGUGAGUAACGCGUAGGUAUCUAUCCGUGGGUGGGGGAUAACGGCGGGAAACUGCUGCUAAUACCGCAUGACACCUGAGGGUCAAAGGCGCGAGUCGCCUGCGGAGGAGCCUUCGUCCGAUUAGCUAGUUGGUGGGGUAAUGGCCCACCAAGGCGACGAUCGGUAGCUGGUCUGAGAGGAUGAUCAGCCACAUUGGGACUGAGACACGGCCCAA